GACGAACGCUGGCGGCGUGCCUAAUACAUGCAAGUUGAGCGCUGAAGGUUGGUACUUGUACCAACUGGAUGAGCAGCGAACGGGUGAGUAACGCGUGGGGAAUCUGCCUUUGAGCGGGGGACAACAUUUGGAAACGAAUGCUAAUACCGCAUAACAACUUUAAACACAAGUUUUAAGUUUGAAAGAUGCAAUUGCAUCACUCAAAGAUGAUCCCGCGUUGUAUUAGCUAGUUGGUGGGCUAAAGGCUCACCAAGGCGAUGAUACAUAGCCGACCUGAGAGGGUGAUCGGCCACAUUGGGACUGGGACACGGCCCAAACUCCUACGGGAGGCAGCAGUAGGGGAUCUUCGGCAAUGGACGAAAGUCUGACCGAGCAACGCCGCGUGAGUGAAGAAGGUUUUCGGAUCGUAAAACUCUGUUGGUAGAGAAGAACGUGGGUGAGAGUGGAAAGCUCAUCAAGUGACGGUAACUACCCAGAAAGGGACGGCUAACUACGUG
rnacentral:rRNA from 1 species